GCUCGAGUGGCGAACGGGUGAGUAACGCGUGAGUAACCUGCCCUUGACUUUGGGAUAACUUCAGGAAACUGGGGCUAAUACCGGAUAGGAGCUCCUGCUGCAUGGUGGGGGUUGGAAAGUUUCGGCGGUUGGGGAUGGACUCGCGGCUUAUCAGCUUGUUGGUGGGGUAGUGGCUUACCAAGGCGACACGGGUAGCCGGCCUGAGAGGGUGAUCGGCCACAUUGGGACUGAGAUACGGCCCAG
rnacentral:rRNA from 1 species